UACGGGGGGAGCAAGCGUUGUUCGGAUUUACUGGGCGUAAAGGGCGCGUAGGCGGUAGCACAAGUCAGUUGUGAAAUCUCCGGGCUUAACUCGGAAAGGUCAACUGAUACUGUGCGACUAGAGUGCAGAAGGGGCAACUGGAAUUCUCGGUGUAGCGGUGAAAUUCGUAGAUAUUCGGAAGAACACCAGUGGCGAAGGCGACUCACUGGACAUGUAUUGACGCUGAGGUGCGAAAGCGUGGGGAGCAAACAGG
rnacentral:rRNA from 1 species